AAAAAAUUCCUAAAGUGAUGGAUUCAACUUUUUCCAUCGUUCGAAGAACAUUACUUAUUACUAAGUGGAAAAAAGUUUAGCAAAGUUAUCCCUGGUACCAAUCUAAAAGUCCAGAACAUAAAAUUCAUUGUAUGAUUAAGUAGUUCACAUGGAAUUUAUUUGUUAGUGAAAGGCGAAAAGUCAAAUAUAACCUUUAGUAUAAUAUGGAAUGACGUUAAUAACCGGCUGUGAAGGCACAAAAGCAGUGUGGCUUCUUAAAAGGUAUGAGUAAAGCGAUUUUGGAAGCUUUGUACCCAAGCCAUUUGUGUGCUCAGUAAAAUAAUUCUUGUAGGUAAUACUUGUGUAGAAGUGAAGUCAGAGAUGGUGAAAUGGAGUGAGAGGGUGGAUCUGGUGGUCCAGUGGUGGGUUGUUCAUGCGUGAAGAACUGUGUUCGGUGCGUGUCUGGAGGCAGCGGUGCGCGGUCUAAAAUUUGAGAAAUUGGAACAGCGAGGAAUGUGUGGCAAAGGAGGAAUGGCGUAUUUGAAGGAAGGCCAUAUUGGGAUGCUGGUUAAAGACGAGUUUUGGUGAAGGCUUUUAUAAGUUAUAGAUUUUUUGAAAAAGUUGUAUUAGCAGAGGCAGAGCGAUUUUAUUUUGCAAUGUCUUCUUGUAGCAGAACGAUCCUUGAACUGGAUGCUGGGAGGAAGAGAAUUUUAAUGGUUUAGGAUAGCGGAGAUAUCGAUGCAAUGGUACAAGGGCAUUGGUGUAUAAUUUGCUGGGUUGUAUUUAGAAUUGAAAAUCGGGCACUAAUCUUAAAGGUUUUGGCCCAAAGUGGGACAAACGGGCUAAAACAGAAAACGGGUUGGACCGGGCCUAAGUUGGACCCAAGCCCAACUUAUAUAUAUCUCCUUUAAUGAGCUUUCAGCUUAUUUUUCAUUAAAGAGAGAGAGGGAGUUCGGUUAUGAGAGAAGAGAGAAGAGAAACCAUGGGAGCACUAUUCAUCCUCCACUUUCGGGAGCCAUAACUUGAGCAACGGAGCUCCGAUUGACGAGCAGUUUGCGGCCACGUGAAGCUCUCGUCGAGCUCUUCGAUUCUAUCUAGGAAAAUCUGGUGAUCUCUAUUAGCGAGUAAUUGUUGGAUUUUACCCCUAAUCUCAUUGGAUAAG